UGGGGAAUUUGGACAAUGGCGAAGCCUGACCAGCAAUGCCGCGUGUGUGAAGAAGGCCUUCGGGUUGUAAAGNNCUUUGUUGCCGGAAAGAAAUCCUUGGCUCUAAUACAGUCGGGGAUGACGGUACCGGAAGAAUAAGCACCGGCUAACUACGUGCCAGCAGCCGCGGUAAUACGUAGGGUGCAAGCGUUAAUCGGAAUUACUGGGCGUAAAGCGUGCGCAGGCGGUUUGCUAAGACCGAUGUGAAAUCCCCGGGCUCAACCUGGGAACUGCAUUGGUGACUGGCAGGCUAGAGUAUGGCAGAGGGGGGUAGAAUUCCACGUGUAGCAGUGAAAUGGCGUAGAGAUGUGGAGGAAUACCGAUGCGAAGGCAGCCCCCUGGGCCAAUACUGACGCUCAUGC
rnacentral:rRNA from 1 species